CCGUGAUUAGGCAAGUGGCAUGUCGCCUGCUUUGGGAGCAGGACGUCGGGUGUUCGAUUCACCCAUCACGGACCA
rnacentral:tRNA from 1 species